CCUACGGGAGGCAGCAGUGAGGAAUAUUGGUCAAUGGGCGCGAGCCUGAACCAGCCAAGUAGCGUGAAGGAUGACUGCCCUACGGGUUGUAAACUUCUUUUAUAAAGGAAUAAAGUGAGUCACGUGUGCCUUUUUGUAUGUACUUUAUGAAUAAGGAUCGACUAACUCCGUGCCAGCAGCCGCGGUAAUACGGAGGAUCCGAGCGUUAUCCGGAUUUAUUGGGGUUAAAGGGAGCGUAGAUGGGUUGUUAAGUCAGUUGUGAAAGUUUGCGGCUCAACCGUAAAACUGCAAUUGAUACUGGCAGCCUUGAGUACAGUUGAGGGAGGCGGAAUUCGUGGUGUAGCGGUGAAAUGCUUAGAUAUCACGAAGAAUUCCGAUUGCGAAGGCAGCUUACUAAACUGCCACUGACAUUGAUGCUCGAAAGUGUGGGUAUCAAACAGGAUUAGAUACCCGAGUAGUC
rnacentral:rRNA from 1 species